UCCAAUCUGGUAGACUCGGUGAACAGGAAUCCAGUAGCAGGUUGCAAUCUGGGCUAGUGAGCAAGAUAGAGGUGGUAAAUGUUCCAGUGGGGAAGUCUGGAUGCAAGCAAGACCAGUUCAGGAAACUAUUGCAGUCACAGAGAUUGUCUUCCUAACGUUGGAAGUUCUUGAUACUCUGACUCGACCGUGGGAGAGCUCUUCUAUAAUGGGUGGUAUAAUUGCUUCUUCCAAGUGGCCUGAACAAAUAUUAUUUUUCAAGUUGAUUUCUCUUUUACGGAUCUCAAACCUCAAAUUCAUGGGGAAGAUAGCCCAGGAUUUUUAUUUUUCUCAGGGAGCCCCCUAACCCUGAGACCUGACAGAAACACAUUUCUUGUGCAAUUGUUUUAUUUUUAAACUGUUUAUGUUAACAUGAAGAUUUUUGAGAAAUUAGGGGUUUUUUUUCCCCUCCCAGAUUUACUGAGGAAUAGUUGACAAACAUUGUUUAUAUUUGGGUGCAGAACAUGAGGUUUUAGUAUAUGCAUACAUUGUCAAAUGAUUAUCACAGUCAAGCCAAUUAACAUGCCCACAUACCCAUCACUUCACGUAGUUACUAUUUUGUGCCUGUGUGUGUGUAGCAGAGAUCUACUCCUUUAGCACAUUUCAAGUAUAUAAUACCUUGUUAUUAACUAUAUUCACCAUGCUGUAUAUUAGGUCUCAAGAAAAACUCAUCUUAUUCUAAAUGUUUGUACCAUUUCACCAACAUAUCCCUCAAUGACACCAGCCCCUUGGUAACCAGAAUUCUACUAUCUAGUUCUAUGAGUUCAACUUAAGAUUCUACAUAUAAGUGAGAUCAGAUGAUAUUUGUGUUGCUCUAUUUGACUUAUUUCACUUAGCAUACUGUCCUACAGGUUCUUCCAUGUUGUCUCAAAUGAAAAGAUGUCCUUCCUUUUAAAGGCUGAAUAAUACUUCAUUCUACAUAAAUAUUUUUUCUUUAUCCAUACAUCUGUCAUCAGACACUUAAGUAGUUUCUGUAUCUUGGUUAAUGUGAAUAAUGCUAUAGUGAGCACUGGAGUGCAGACAGCUCUUUGAGAUAGUGAUUUUAUUUCUUUUGAAUAUAUACUCAGAAGUGGGA